CUCCUGACCUCAAGUGAUCUGCCCACCUCGGCUUCCCAGAGCGCUGGGAUUACAGACGUGAGCCACCACAUCCAGCCCGAAUUUUCCUCAAGUUCAAAAAUUCCUGAUGAAGGUUUAGCUAAAAUAUUUGGUGAGUCACCCCCUUCCCUGUGGAACCUCGGGUUGGAUUUGAAGAGUUGUGUGCAUGGCCCUCAUUGUCUCCCAGGUAACCUGUUCUUGCUGCUGUGAAGGGAAGGCAGGUACUUUUCCUUGAGGCUAGAAUCUGUUUGCCUAAGUGUCGAAGUCUCAAGAAAUUAAGCAAAACGUAGAUGAUACACACCUGGAAAAGACCCUACUGAGCAUGAGUGGAGCAGAGCAGCACCGUGUGGGAGCUCAUUGAGACUGCAGCGUCAGAUGCCACCUUGCACCAGCGGCAGCACACCUGCCUCGCCAGUUUCUGCUCUGAGGCCCUGGUUGUCAGUCCUAACUGAGCAUAAUAACCCCUAGGGCAAUCCUCUUUUUAAUAAUUGAGACAUUCCACACACACCCCGAAUCAGAUUUUGGGGUGUGGGGAUAGACCUUCGAAUUUGUAGUUUUCUAUCCCUCCAGGGGACACCAGGCUGCAACUCACUGGUCCCUACUCUAAACCUUCUGUUGAACAUGUGAGAAAAACUAAGGCCCAGGGAAGCCCUCUAGCAGAGAGCUGAGACGAAGAAAAGGGUUCUGAACCACAGCCGUCUGCUGAAGGAAGCUGUCCAGAUGCCAGUGCAGUCUCUCCUACGGGUGCCUGGGCCUGCGUCAGGAGGGGAGGUCGAGGGUUGCCUUAGGUGUGGGAAGGAGCUCCAGGGAGAGUGGUGCUGAUGCUUCCCCUUGGGUUAGGAGGCAUUUGGAUCACACAGCGAUGCCUGCACAUUCCCGGUUGCAAGAGAGUAGAUCUCUGGACACCCGAUAGGCCUCCGUUCUGGCAGCUGUCCGUGGUAGGAGCGCUGGGCUUGCUCCUCCCCAUGGGAACCAUCACACAGGCCUCAGGCAGUCUGCAUAGAUGACAGCCUGGCAGGUGACCAGGCUGGGAUGAGUGAGCAGAUGUGGGUAGCACUUGCGGUUCCCCUAGCUGUGCCUUCAGCACCUGCUGCCUAGGAGGCAGAAGCCUUGUUCUCCACCUUGCAGGUGAACCCAGUGUCUCUGAAUCUAGCUGCGUAUGUGUAGGAGUCAGGUGAUUGCAUCUGAGGAUGGGAGUCGGGUUGGGGGUUUGGGAAACAUCCAUGAUCCUUCAAGGGCCCAUUGACCUGCCCAGUACAUGCCAGGUGGGCCUUGGCAUUGGAGGCCACAGCUCAACUCUGCGGUUCCUGCUGGGCAACAUUUCCAGGGACUCAUAGAUCAGCAAGGUCAUCAAGGAGGGGUGGUGAGAGCAGCUCCUCAUUGUCCUGGUGACCCUGAUGUUUAAUUUUCUGAUGUCUCUGUCGUGAGCUCCUGUUGUGUCAAAUGAAUAGUGGCCACCGAGAACCAACCGCCCUGGAAAUGCACUCAGAAUAGAUACAGGACGAGUGGGGUUUGUGAGGACUGUUUUCUGUGGCUUAGCAAGGAAAGCCUGGAGAGGAAGGUAAAACUGCUGCUUCCCAGGGAAGCCAGAGGCCUGAGAAGUUAAACGCAAAGGAGUACUUAAUACAUUUCAAAAACGUAACUCUGAUGAAUUGGCAACGGUUUUAUAAACAAAGAGCUUUCUGAGCUGAUAGAAUCUGCUCUGAUUCAUUUCUGCCCCCACAAACUUUACCCUAUUCUUAUGAGUUAUCUUGCAAACAGUCUCAGAGAACUAGAAGAAUGAUUAGGGCACUGAGUAUCAGGAGAUCUGGGGCCAUAUAUCUUUAGUGGGCAGUGUUUACUAGCCAGGAAGUCUCAGACAAUCACAAUUAUCCGGAAAUGAUUUAGGUAAUUGGCGUUUUCCCCCCCAGACAAGGCAUUUUAGGGAAUAAAGUCCCAUAUCUGCGGAGUUUGCGUCACGUAUUCACUGUAUUCAUAGACUGCUUUACAUACUUGGAGAGCAAAAUACAUCAGUCCUGCGUUGCUUGUAUUAACAUGCCUUUGUUUGCUUCACUGGAGAUGAAAUUCUACUGCAAGUCACGUCCCAGGUUCCGUAUGACCCAUCAUUUAAAGAAACAAUAGCAGUCAGAUCCAUUACAAAGAGAGACAUGAGAAAAGAUGCCCACUCCAG